GGUCCGUUGGCCCAAUGGCAAGGCGUCUGACUACGAUUUGAGUUCUCUCAGUCAUCAGGAGAUUGCGGGUUCGAUCCCCGUGCGGACCU
rfam:Pseudomassariella vexata strain CBS 129021 BCR38scaffold_25, whole genome shotgun sequence.